CUCCAGAUCUGCAAAAUAAAACAAGACUCACAUGUUGCAAACAUUUCAACAUAAAUUCAACAUGAAAUAUUAACUCUAUAUGCUAGUGAAUCAAUCAAAAAUAUUUUCUUUGUUCGUCAAAAAGAACAGAAGACUGAUUUUAGUACAAUUAGAUAUUGUAUAUUCCACAAAUUAGGCAGAAAUUCGUACAGUAUUCUAAUGGAAAAUACUGACCUUUGGAGACUGAAGCUAAAAUACUUUGGCCACCUAAUGAGAAGAGAGGACUCAUUGGAAAAGACCCAGAUGUUGGGAACGAUUGAAGGCAAAAGGAAAAGGGGAUGGCAGAGAAUGAGAUGGUGUCAUUGACACAAUGAGCAUGAAUGAAAACUCUGGGAGACAGUGGAGAACAGAUGUGCUAUGGUCCAAGGGGGUCGCCAAGAAUCAGACAUGAUUUAGCAGCUGAACAACAGCAACAAUUCUAAUGGAGAGGACACUAUAAUGACACAAAAUAAGCUUGGGUGGCAACACCUAGCCAACCUUGGCUGAUCUUGAAAGAGUUCAACUUGAUUAGGACUAGGAUGGGAAUGAAAAAACAUUCCAGAAAACCAUCACUAGGAGUCAAACUUGACUUGAAGGUUUUUUUUAAUCCUUUUAAUAGCAUUUUAUUAAUAUGAUUCCAUUCUGCUUUUGAUUCCAAAUCACCCUCCUCAAUUGUUAAAGAGUUAUUGCAAUAUGGCAAUUUAGAUUUUGUAGGCAUAUCCACUGCCAAUGCUGCAGACAAGACAAAAGGGUGUGUGUGUGAGAUGAAAAACUCCCAACUUCCCCAUGAUACGACUGGAACAAUGCAAAGUAAAACAACAAGAAGAAUCUAAGAGAGAAUUUGGGGGAACUGUGGCAUCUGUCGGAACCCUGACACAUGACCUGGAUGACUGAGAAUCUCCAUAGACUAAAGGCUUCAACAAAGUAUUGAGUGAAUGGUCUGAAUACCAUUCAGACUGAAUGGCCAAUAUGAUAUUUGAGUUUUUUUCUUUUUAAUAAAUUUACAGACAUUUCUAAAAUUGUUUUCACUUUGUCAUUAUGGGGUACUGAGUGUAGAUUAAUGAGAAAAAAAUGAAUUUCAACAACUGUAAAAUCAGGCUAGAGCAUAACAAAAUUGACAAAAUUGACAUUGCUUAGCACAAUGUAAGCCGUCCUGAGUCUACGGAGAAGGGCUGCAUAUAAAUCAAAAUUUAAAAAAAAAAAAAAAAGUGAAAAGGGUCUGAAUACUUUCUGAAUGUACUAUACCUUGGGGGAGUGCUGACUAAAUAUAACUGCAACUGAAAUACCUAAUACUAUUAUGUAUUAAUGUAGUAUAUUUGGCAUGUUUAUAUAUUACCCAUAUUUACUUUUGUUUUUGUAAUUUUAAUCUAUUUUUAUAUUUAUAAUUGUUUUUAUCUGCAUGCAUUAUUACAUAGUAAAAUAUGUGUUAUUAUUACUCUGCCACUCAGUCACCUCGAAGUUUGAGAUGUGUGGCAUAUAAAUUUAAUAAAUAUAUUUGUUACUUCGAACUUA